AGGGUUUGAUCAUGGCUCAGAUUGAACGCUGGCGGCAGGCCUAACACAUGCAAGUCGAGCGGUAACGCGGGGCAACCUGGCGACGAGCGGCGGACGGGUGAGUAACGCGUAGGAAUCUACCUGGUAGUGGGGGAUAGCCCGGGGAAACUCGGAUUAAUACCGCAUACGCCCCAAGGGGGAAAGCGGGGGUCGCAAGACCUCGCGCUAUCAGAAGAGCCUGCGUUGGAUUAGCUAGUUGGUAGGGUAAAGGCCUACCAAGGCGACGAUCCAUAGCUGGUCUGAGAGGAUGAUCAGCCACACUGGGACUGAGACACGGCCCAGACUCCUACGGGAGGCAGCAGUGGGGAAUAUUGGACAAUGGGGGCAACCCUGAUCCAGCCAUGCCGCGUGUGUGAAGAAGGCCUUCGGGUUGUAAAGCACUUUAAGUGGGGAGGAAGGGGUCAACGCUAAUACCGUUGAUCAUUGACGCUACCCACAGAAUAAGCACCGGCUAACUCUGUGCCAGCAGCCGCGGUAAUACAGAGGGUGCAAGCGUUAAUCGGAAUUACUGGGCGUAAAGCGCGCGUAGGCGGCUGAUUAAGUCGGGUGUGAAAGCCCCGGGCUCAACCUGGGAAUUGCAUCCGAUACUGAUUGGCUAGAGUAUGAGAGAGGGAGGUAGAAUUCCACGUGUAGCGGUGAAAUGCGUAGAUAUGUGGAGGAAUACCGGUGGCGAAGGCGGCCUCCUGGCUUAAUACUGACGCUGAGGUGCGAAAGCGUGGGGAUCAAACAGGAUUAGAUACCCUGGUAGUCCACGCCGUAAACGAUGUCAACUAGCCGUUGGGCACCUUAGUGUGCUUGGUGGCGCAGCUAACGCGAUAAGUUG
rnacentral:rRNA from 1 species